GGGGAUAUAGCACAACCCGGUUAAUGCGGUCGGCUCCAGACCGAUUGAUUCAGGUUCAAGUCCUGAUAUCCCCA
rnacentral:tRNA from 1 species